UACGUUAGGGUGCGAGCGUUAAUCGGAAUUACUGGGCGUAAAGCGCACGUAGGCGGAUCGAUCAGUCAGGGGUGAAAUCCCAGAGCUCAACUCUGGAACUGCCUUUGAUACUCUGGAGCUUGAGUACGGGAGAGGAUAGUGGAAUUCCCAGUGUAGAGGUGAAAUUCGUAGAUAUUGGGAAGAACACCGGUGGCGAAGGCGCUAUCUGGACCGUAACUGACGCUGAGGCGCGAAAGCGUGGGGAGCAAACAGG
rnacentral:rRNA from 1 species